rnacentral:rRNA from 1 species
CCUACGGGGGGCAGCAGUGGGGAAUAUUGGGCAAUGGGCGCAAGCCUGACCCAGCAACGCCGCGUGAAGGAAGAAGGCUUUCGGGUUGUAAACUUCUUUUCUGAGGGACGAAGCAAGUGACGGUACCUCAGGAAUAAGCCACGGCUAACUACGUGCCAGCAGCCGCGGUAAUACGUAGGUGGCAAGCGUUAUCCGGAUUUACUGGGUGUAAAGGGCGUGUAGGCGGGAAUGCAAGUCAGAUGUGAAAACUAUGGGCCCAACCCAUAGCCUGCAUUUGAAACUGUAUUUCUUGAGUGCUGGAGAGGCAAUCGGAAUGCGGGGUGUAGCGGUGAAAUGCGUAGAUAUACGGAGGAACACCAGUGGCGAAGGCGGAUUGCUGGACAGUAACUGACGCUGAGGCGCGAAAGCGUGGGGAGCAAACAGGAUUAGAUACCCGUGUAGUC